rnacentral:lncRNA from 1 species
CUCUCCCCUUCACUUCUAUUUAUUUAGCUUGGAUUUAUUAGCUCCCAUGGAGGAGAGAAAGCAGCGAGCGGCAAGCUCUUCUUGAUGAAUGGCCUCACAUCAAGAAGAGAGAGAGGAAACACCUUGCGUGCAGCCGAAAGGAAGCUGCAAUUGCAGCUGGGCGCCGCCAAGCCCCUCGUUCUCAUGGACGUGGAUUCUGUGAAGUGGGACUCUCGUCAUACUGGGCUUUCAUUUAACUUCACUGGGACAAGGACGGUGGUUGUGUCAGACCAAACCCUACCCACCUUGGAUGCUGUAUCCACCACAGACAAUACAAUGCUGGAAUCAGCAGCGGAGACAGUUUAUGGAAGCAGACUGGACUUCCCAGUUAUCCUGACAAGAACUCUGCGCCUGGCCACAAACGUUUGUAGAAAUUCGUACGCGCCGUGCAGUUCAACCUGCGGCAACCUGGAGCACUUCUGCACUGUCAUAGUGACGUUCGAUUUUGGCAACGUGGUGAUAAGAAAGCCGCUAACCAUCCAUCACCUUGGGACUCAGGGCUAA